GGGAAAGAUUUGGGGACGAGGAAAAGUAUAACAGGUACUUGAUACGUGGAAUGAAAUUGAUCCUCUGAUGGUAUUUGCGAAAAAUUGUUGUAUUCUCUACCGACGUCGGUACGAUGAUAUCGCUCGAAUCGGUAAAUGCUGGGCGAGAGAUUGAUACGAUGUCAAAGGAAUAUUGAUCUUUCUCUGAAUAUUGUCGUUCCAACGUAUUGGAAUCGUGCAACGAUUCGAUGAACAGUUUACAGUAUUUCCUCCCUGUAUGCUCUCGAGAAUUAUUGAACGUUGAGUCAACGUUGUAACAUAUAUUUAUAUAGACACAUAACAUCACGCUAUUUCUUUCGUU